rnacentral:rRNA from 1 species
AUUGAACGCUGGCGGCAGGCCUAACACAUGCAAGUCGAGCGAGCGGCGGACGGGUGAGUAAUGUAUGGGGACUGCCCGAUAGAGGGGGAUAACUACUGGAAACGGUAGCUAAUACCGCAUACUAUCGGAUAACCCAUAUGGGAUUAGCUAGUAGGUGAGGUAAUGUCUCACCUAGGCGACGAUCCCUAGCUGGUCUGAGAGGAUGAUCAUCCACACUGGGACUGAGACACGGCCCAGAGUCCUACCAUGUCACUAGGUUAAGAUUUUGGACAAUGGGGGAAAACCUGAUCCAGCCAUCCCGCGUGUAUGAUGAAGGCCUUCGGGUUGUAAAGUACUUUUGGCAGAGAAGCGGUAGCUGCAGAAUAAGCACCGGCUAACUACGUGCCAGCAGCCGCGGUAAUUC